CUAGUUCCAGAAUUGCAUUUUGCACGGGGAGGGGUCGCCUAUAGAUUCUUAGUCCAUCAGACCCCAAAGCAGAGGCCGAAGUGCACGCCAGGACGGGGAG
rnacentral:sRNA from 1 species